UUUAAACAUAGCCACGAGUUUUCGUGUCCAACUUAGAUAAUCCUUCUUAUUUAAAUGUUUUUAUGAUUAAUAUUUUUAUUGUUAUUAGAUGAUAAAACAUGAAUAGUACUUUAUGCGUGACUUAUGUUUUUUUAUUUAUUUUUAAAUAAAACGGAUUAUUAAAGUUGGACAUGGAAACUUAUGGCUGCGCUUAAA
rfam:Oryza rufipogon genomic scaffold, chr05